rnacentral:rRNA from 1 species
GACGAACGCUGGCGGCGUGCUUAACACAUGCAAGUGGAGCGACGAACCGGGCUUCGGCCCGGGGCAAAGCCGCGAACGGGUGAGUAACACGUGGGUAACCUGCCCCGAUGAUUGGGACAACCUCGGGAAACCGAGGCUAAUACCAAAUGUGCUCACACUCCUCGAGGAGUGUGAGGAAAGGAAGCUUCGGCCUCCGCAUCGGGAUGGGCCCGCGGCGCAUUAGCUUGUUGGUGGGGUAAUGGCCUACCAAGGCUUCGAUGCGUAGCUGGUCUGAGAGGACGAUCAGCCACACGGGGACUGAGACACGGCCCAGACUCCUACGGGAGGCAGCAGUGGGGAAUCUUGCGCAAUGCGCGAAAGCGUGACGCAGCAACGCCGCGUGCGGGAAGACGGCCUUCGGGUUGUAAACCGCUUUCAGUUGGGACGAAGCUUCGCCGGUGAAUAGCCGGCCGGAGUGACGGUACCUUCAGAAGAAGCCCCGGCUAACUACGUGCCAGCAGCCGCAGUAA